AGUGAACGCUGGCGGUAGGCCUAACACAUGCAAGUCGAACGGCAGCACAGUAAGUGCUUGCUCUUACGGGUGCCGAGUGGCGGACGGGUGAGGAAUACAUCGGACUCUACUUUUUCGUGGGGGUUAACGUAGGGAAACUUACGCUAAUACCGCAUACUACCUACGGGUGAAUGCAGGGGAUCUUCGGACCUUUUGCGUUUGAUUGCGCCGAUGUGGGAUUAGCUUGUUGGCGGGGUAAAGGCCCACCAAGGCGACGAUCCGUAGCUGGUCUGAGAGGAUGAUCAGCGACACGGGAACGGAGACACGGACCAGACGCCUACGGGAGGCAGCAGAGGGGAAUAUGGGACAAAGGGGGGAAGCAUGAUCCAACGAUAGCGAGUGGGUGAAGAAGGCGUUCGGGUUGGAAAGCCGUUUUGUGGGGAAAGAAAAGCAGCAGGUAAAGACGAAGCUGAAGUGACGGUACCCAAAGAAUAAGCACCGGCUAACUACGUG
rnacentral:rRNA from 1 species